rnacentral:lncRNA from 1 species
AAAUUUUGUCUCAGAUGCCAUAGCCUAGCCGGGGUGAGGUACCCAGGACAUCUUGAAAUAGCCCUUAAAGAAGCAACAGAGGAUGCGUUGAUGGCUUAGACCACUUUUCUUAACUCACGUCUUUAGUCCAAAGUUUGCAGAGGGCCAGCUGAACCUGGAAAACGCGCGGGUUGAGGGGUGGUCCCUGUCGGUGAGCGCGCCCACAGGGAUCGUGGAGGGUUGGACAGCCAGGGUUCGUUUUAGUGAGAGGGUGGGAAAGAAGGAAACGAGGAAAAGGCAAGUGGCAACAGCUCAAGUCAAAAUCAAAGAAUCAAAUCCUGUGCUUCAAAUUAAAUACGUCCAUGGUACAGAGCGUCUGCUUGAGAGGCUUACAUGGAUUUGAUGGAGAACACCUGCUUUUCUUGGUCAUCUGCUAGAGAAAAAUCUGUUUCCUCUUGCCGUUGGAUUUGCAGCUCAUCAGAAGUAGCCUGUCCAAAUUUUGUGUUGGAUCUUCCUUCUUUGCCUUUGGACAAACACCUCUGGUAAACUCGUUCUCAGACUCAGAGAAACCGAGCAUCAGGAGGCCAGUAUCCUGGUGACGCCACAGCCCCCGACGUCGGAGGACGACUGCGCCAGACUAAGGCUUCCUCGCGUCUCACGGACAAAUCUGUUUCCCAGCAGACUGUGUGAAACAGUCUAAAAAAACACGUCCCAGUUAGUGGUGUUCUCUAGGCAUCUUUGCGUCCCCUGGUAUCGCUCCCUUAGACUUCAGAUGCUACCGAGGUUCACCUUGCUUCUUCCCAGUCCGCUUACGUCACAUGAUACAACCCAAAUAAAAUAUUUCAGAAGUAAACCAAGGCUAAAAUCCUUUGAUGAAAGAGGGAAAAUUACAGUCUCCUAGAGUAGGUUUAAUUCAAGCAAGAGGAUAUAUCUUGGCAAACCUUUCAAUGACUUUUAUUACAGUUUACUGUAUGUCCUCAUUAUCAGAACUAUAAUAUGCAUAUACCUUGGAUAUUAAAGUAAACCACUUUGGAAGGUUUGCCAAUAAACUCCCUUCCUAAUGCAUUAUCACUCUUUCAUUUACUGCUAUUUGCACUUGUAAAAACAUUACAUGCAUUAUUUCAAACUAAGAAGAGAGCCAACCAUAGCGUUUAAAAAGGAUGACAAGGUUGAACAUUUUAAAGGUCUUUGUUGAGUGGAUUUAGGACUAGGACCUUGACCGUUUCCCAGAAACAUCUAACUGAUUAACCUAAACUAAUCUCUCAAGUCUAAGUAAAAUUAACUUUUGCAUAUGUACUUUUUAUGUGGCUUUAUGAUGUUGCUUCUAGAGAGAACUAGUCAACUUGUUCCAUCAAUAAUAAAAAAUCUAUAUUCUCAUAAU